AACAUCCAAAAUUAUAAAUUACAAUCAAAAUCGCUUCGCUCUCACAGCGCUAUAAUUUCAUUCCACAAUCACAUGCAUGUUAGUGAUGCGGUUCCGAUUAUCAUCUGUAGCCGGGAAAGCAGCAGAAGAUGAAAUAUGAGUGUGUUGAAUAUAAAGUAUUAUUAUAAGUGAAAUAUACGGUCUUGUGUUCUCAGGUGGUCUGGCGGAAGAAGUGGACGGGAAAGAUUGUGAGACAGGUGACAAACUGUCAUUGAUAACAUGAAUGAGUCGGAGCUGUUUGGCAGAACCAUCCGAGUGAACAUGGCCAAACAUGAGCCCGACCAGGUCUGCUGUCGAUGGCAAACUCUAGACCCAAUGCUAAUGACUGGCAGUUCUUCAUCACUGUUGAUAAUACAGACUGGCUGGAUGACAAACAUGUGGUAUUCGGAGAGCUCAUAGAGGGCAUGGAGGUGAGCUGCUGACUGAGGGAGAUCAGGACCGUUUCACACUAUUGUUCAAAAGGUUAUUUUGAAAAAGUCUCUUAUGCUCACUAAGGCUGCAUUUAUUCAAUAGUAAUGUUGUAAAAUAUCUUUUACAAUUUAACUGUUGUCUAUUUUAACAAAGCUGAGUUCUCAAGCAGCCAUUACUCCAGUCUUCAGCGUCACACCGUCUUUCAGAAAUGUUUCCAGUAUGCUUAUUUGCUGUUCAAGAAACAUUUAUUUUUAUCAAAGUUUACAACAGUUAUUGAUGUUUUAAAGAUUCUUUGAUAAAUAAAAGUCAAAAAGAAUUUUUUUUGAAAUGAGAAUCUUU